rnacentral:lncRNA from 1 species
UAACACAAGCUGACAUCAAUGACAACAGAAGUAAAAGGACAUGAAUGUAACAUGACAAGGACACAUAUAUAACUAUCAAACAUGAACAGAGGGAAGAAACAAGGUUGUAGGACAGAAUAUAUGUAUCAUAUCAAAGACACACACAUAUGUAUAUAAAUCACACACAUUUAUCUCACAAGAACUUGAACUAAUACGUGGACUACAAAACUGAAUAUAUUUCUACAGAAAAGGGAACACACUGUGACAACACAUACAUGAACUGGAAUUAAAAUACAAAGGGUGAACACGCAUAAGUUCUAACAGAACACUAAUUACCAAGACAAAAUGUUAGACGUCACUUUGUUUCGAAAGAAAAGAAAUCCACUAUUCAGAACAUAGAAUUCAUGACAUGAUAUUUAAGAAGUAUGAACUGAACAAACUAAUUGGUUGCAAACACUUAUCAAAAUCUGAACCUUACAAGUCCUACACCACUCCUAUUAUAGAAAAUUCAGAGUACAGUAGCAAGAGAAGGGAGAGAUUCAAAGAUUAAUUCCCAGUCAAUCUUCAGGCUUGCAGCUGUAUAUCAUGUAGGUGAUGGAGAAGAUCAGCAGGGGGCGAGUUGGAGAAGGAGAGGUACAGCAGCAGAGGGCAGAGCAGCAGCGAGGUAGGGAGAAGAAAGAGCAGCAGGCUGGGGUUCAGAGAAGAUUAGGAGCAUCAACUAGAGGAAAAGGAAGAAGAGAGCAGCGACAGGAGAAGAAGGAAACAACAACAUGAUGAGGGGAGGAGUAGCAGCGUGAGAGAUCAGCAAGGGGGCGCGGUAGAAGAAGAGCAGCAACAAAGGGAUUGAAGGAGGAGGAGAGAGGUGGAGGAGCAGCGAGGGGAAGAAGAAGGGAAGCAGCGAGGCAGGGGAGGAAGAAGGCAGCGGCAGAAGGCAAGGUCGCCUGGGGCACCAGACCCUUGGUCUGGUAGGGCGCGCGAGCGAUGGUGGUGAAGGGGUGGCGCUGAUGGAUGGUGCAGCGGCGCGAGGGGGUGAUGGAUUGGAUGGAUGGUGGUAUAUGGAGGUGCUGGUGGACGGAGGGCGCCGUGGAGCGGUGGCGCGCCCCACGCCGGCCUGGCUGUGGCGGCGGCCGAAGGUGGAGAAGGAGACGAGAGGGGAGAUGUGCCAGGCCCCAUUGGAUCCCUCCAGCGCCUAGGGAUUUUGUUCCCCUCCUCUCAUCUGCACUUUGUGAUUUGGCCAUCUUACUUCUCUUCUUUCUUCACAAGAAGAUCCUCCUACUUCUUUAGCUCGCCCCUGGUAACUUCUUUUCUUCUCGCACAAGUCCAUUCUUCCUCCUCCUCUUCAUUCUCUUAGCCACUAGUCCGGAUCUUGAAGUUUAUAGUGCCUUUUCGCACUUUUCUACAAAAGAAACACAAUGACUAGUAAAUGAUUCAUUAUAUGAUUUUCAUGCAAAUAUUCAACUAAACUUAGGAAGAAUAGAUGGGCAUAACCCAAUGAAUGGUAUAAUUGUAUGCCAGAAUUAUAUAUAUGAAAUGUGCAUAUCAAGUUCCCCCACACUUAAAUCUUUACUUGUCCUCAAGUAAAGGCAAAUGACAAGAGCUAGAUGGUGAACAGUGAGCUGACUAGAGAAUGUCCCAGUAAAGUAGAUCUCCAAACAUCGCAUUCUUUGGACUUAGCUAGUGAAAAUCAAUGGUUAAGAGUGCUACAAAGCAAUAGGAUACUAGUAGACUCGAUCAUUUUCAACUUUUACAAUGAUGCAAGAAGAUUAGCAAGUUCAAAUGCUGAUUAUGCCAAAGGUUCCUAAAGAGAGCAUGAUCUUGAGAACAAAAGGAACUUGAAUUAAAUCUUGUGAUCAAAUCACUUAUUUACUGAAAUAAAGCAAUGAUUAUUAUUAUUAGUCUCACCAUAGGAACAUACCACCGAUCCCGAGAACAUGGUAUACACCUGGCUCGACCAAUUAUUGGUAUUUUUUUAGUUUGUCUCCCCAAAGGAACAUACCACCGAUCCCGAGAACAUGGUAUACACCUGGUUCGACAAUUACAUUUUUUAAUAUAAUUAACUCCUAUCCGAUCCAACCAGAUUUCACAAGCCACCGAUCCAGGGAACAUGACAUGCUACUGUUAGGUAGAUCAGAUAAUUAUACACUAUAAGAUAUGCCUAUUUUAAUGAACAAACACAAGAAUCAUCACUCAACCAGGUCUGGUUCACAUGCUACGGAUCCAGAGAACAUAGCAUGCUAAUCCAUAGUGGUAAGUGAUUGCUCUGAAUGGGAACACAGUAGGCACAAACUCAGCAUCUGACACUUAAUGAUCUAGGUGUAUCGAGGUAAAAGCAGAAAAUGAUUAAGUUUUCUAGUGUACUAGGGAUUUGAGCACUCAAAACUAAUAGUUCUCACUAAUUUGAGCAAAGCACGCAAUAUGUAGAUCACUAGUUUACAUGGCAUUCAACAAUCGGUUCGCAUAUUCUCAUCAAGCACCAUAUGUCAAAUAAAAUUCAGUGGGGAAGCAUUUAAGAAAUGGCUUAAUAAGCAACCCAAAUAACAUUUGAUUUCAGCAUGUAUCAAUGGAUGAUAUACUCGGAAUGGGUCAUGAAACAGCUCACUGGGCUUUGAUGAUGUAGCACUCGCUUGAUCACUCUCUAAGCUGCAGCUCUUCUCCUUUUGCUUCCUCAUGGAUGCUCCAGCUUCACUCUUCUUCGUGUGUGCCCCAUUGCUUCUCCUCAUCCCCAUGCUCUGAGUCCACCAGGGUCCCAAGGAAUGUCACCUCGAACCUGGUCAACAUGUAUUGAUUCGUGCACAAGCAAAAAACCUGAAAAGGCACUCAACCAAAGAGACAAUGCAAGUGGUAGGGAUAAUACCCUCCAAGUCAUCAAUCGAAUAUCCAAUUACAUAAGCAUAGCUAUAAAGCACAUGUUUAGAAUGGUAGAAAUCAGCAAGGUCAACACUAACAUGAGGAUGAAAUUUAUCAUUAAGCUCAAGACUAGUAUGGGAAUAAUAUGUUUCAUUAAGCAUAGGACUAGCAUAAGGAAAAUAAGUGUCAUCAUCGGGAAUGAGAGCAAUGCCACCAAAAGUGUAUGUAUGAUCAUGUCCAAGCAAAUAAUUUUUCAAAUCUAGCUUAAUUGAUGGUAUAACGCAAUGCAAAGUAACAACAAAGAUCUCAUAAGGAAGCAUGUCAUCAAGAGGAUUGGAUAAACCUGCUAAAUCACGCUCCUGUAUAAUGAUGGGCAAAUGCAUUUCCGGUUCUUCAUCUUCAAUCACAUCAACUUCUUUUGCUUCUUCAAGAGUAAUAGAUGAUGAGUCUUCAACUUGAUCACUUUGUUGUUCGAGCUCUGGAUCAUCUUGUUCCUUGUCUUCAAGUAUUUCUUCUUCAAUCUGAGGUCUUUCUUCCUCUGGACUCUUACUAUCUUGCUCAGCUAGAUGUGACGGUAUUGGAACCUCACAUGUAUCAAGGGGAAUCUUGGCAACACUCGGCUCAAGGAGGGAGGAGAUAGUACUGCCAGCGUUGAUGUUCUUCUCAAUCUUCCUUACUUCUUCCACUAGCUCUUUUCCACUCUUGAUCUUCUUCAUUUCCUCUAGUAUCACCGGCCUCAUUGGAUCAUCUUCAGCACUCCAAGUGAACUCGAGACUAAGCAAUGUGAGCUUGUCUAUAUCAUCAAAAUCAUCUUGUGUGGGCACUUGUGUUGAAGGUGUUGGUUGACCAAAUGGAGGACCAUUUAACUCCAUUGGCAACAUCUCCUGGUGUUGAGGUAUAUGAGUAGGAGGUGAAUAGCAUUGUUGUGGUGCAUAGUUGUUGCUCUCGUCAUUGUACCUAAAUCCCUGCAUUGGAUAACUAGAGGCAAACGAUGAGAUCUCAGGGUUGUUGCUCCUAUAUGACAUAUUCGGGUUUUUAGGCCACCCAUGUGACUAAUUGCUUGCUUUGGUAUGAGCUAUGCUCUUGAGCGAAGCUCAUGCCAAAACAAUCUGGAGGGUGAGAGUAACCAUGCUGACAUUCAGCGGGCGAAUGGCCUUGAAAUCCACAAAUAUGGCAGGUAGGAGCAACAUAAGGAUAGCCUCUAGAAUAAGGAUCAUAAGAGCUAGGCCUACCCUCAAAAACUAUUUCUCGCUGCUGAGCUAAAUCAUCUAAUCGAUGGGAAAUCUUACUUAUCAAGUCUCGAAUACUUUCCGUGCUGUUUGUAGUGUUGCUCGCAAAAGCAUGAUGAUCUGAAUAGUAAGCCAUAUCUGAGAAGAUGCAAUAACCUGCAGAAUGACCAAGCAAAGAAAGAGAAAAUAACUUGACAAGGGUUAGGGGUUAGAGAUAUAUCACAUAUAUAUAGCACAAAGGGAAAAACAAGAAAAACCUAGUCUAUAGCCUAACACGGUCGCACGACUCUAGUCCCCGGCAACGGCACCAAAAUGAUCAGGUGUAAUAUAGCAGGGUUUUUGCGCCCAAACUACGGAUGUGUCGUGUUCUCCAUAGGGACUAGGCGACAGUGACUAUGCUCGGCUAAAGCUAGGGUAGACAAUUUAAGUGACGAAUACAGGGAAAAUAAACCUAAAGUAUCUAAGAUCGUUUCGGAAAAUCGACGACAAAGUAAAUGAAAAUAAGCAAAGGGAGAUUCAGAUUAUAUUCUCUGUCUUUUUGGUAUAUUCAUAAAACUUGAGAAACUAAAAUACUAACACAAGCUGACAUCAAUGACAACAGAAGUAAAAGGACAUGAAUGUAACAUGACAAGGACACAUAUAUAACUAUCAAACAUGAACAGAGGGAAGAAACAAGGUUGUUGGACAGAAUAUAUGUAUCAUAUCAAAGACACACACAUAUGUAUAUAAAUCACCCACAUUUAUCUCACAAGAACUUGAACUAAUACGUGGACUACAAAACUGAAUAUAUUUCUACAGAAAAGGGAACACACUGUGACAACACAUACAUGAACUGGAAUUAAAAUACAAAGGGUGAACACGCAUAAGUUCUAACAGAACACUAAUUACCAAGCCAAAAUGUUAGACAUCGCUUUGUUUCGAAAGAAAAGAAAUCCACUAUUCAGAACAUAGAAUUCAUGACAUGAUAUUUAACAAGUACAAACUGAACAAACUAAUUGGUUGCAAACGCUUAUCAAAAUCUGAACCUUACAAGACCUACACCACUCCUAUUACAGAAAAUUCAGAGUACGGUAGCAAGAGAACGGAGAGAUUCAAAGAUUAAUUCCUAGUCAAUCUUCAGGCUUGCAGCUGUAGAUGGUGUAGGUGAUGGAGAAGAUCAACAGGGGGCGAGUUGGAGAAGGAGAGGUACAGCAGUAGAGGGCAGAGCAGCAGCGAGGUAGGGAGAAGAAAGAGCAGCAGGCUGGGGUUCAGAGAAGAUUAGGAGCAUCAACUAGAGGCAAAGGAAGAAGAGAGGAGCGACAGGAGAAGAAGGAAACAACAACAUGAUGAGGGGAGGAGUAGCAGCGUGAGAGAUCAGCAACAGGGCGCGGUAGAAGAAGAGCAGCAACAAAGGGAUUGAAGGAGGAGGAGAGAGGUGGAGGAGCAGCGAGGGGAAGAAGAAGGGCAGCAGCGAGGCAGGGGAGGAAGAAGGCAGCGGCAGAAGGCAAGGUCGCGCGGGGCACCAGACCCCUAGUCUGGUAGGGCGCGCGAGCGAUGGUGGUGAAGAGGUGGCGCUGAUGGAUGGUGCAGCGGCGCGAGGUGGUGAUGGAUUGGAUGGAUGGUGGUAUAUGGAGUUGCUGGUGGACGAAGGGCGCGGUGGAGCGGUGGCGCGCCCCACGCUGGCCUGGCUGUGGCGGCGGCUGAAGGUGGAGAAGGAGACAAGAGGGGAGAUGUGCCAGGCCCCAUUGGAUCCCUCCAGCGCCUAGGGAUUUUGUUCCCCUCCCCUCAUCUGAACUUUGUGAUUUGGCCAUCUUACUUCUCUUCUUUCUUCACAAGAAGAUCCUCCUACUUCUUUAGCUUGCCCCUGGUAACUUCUUUUCUUCUCGCACAAGUCCAUUCUUCCUCCUCCUCUUCAUUCUCUUAGCCACUAGUCCGGAUCUUGAAGUUUAUAGUGCCUUUGCGCACUUUUCUGCAAAAGAAACACAAUGACUAGUAAAUGAUUCAUUAUAUGAUUUUCAUGCAAAUAUUCAACUAAACUUAGGAAGAAUAGAUGGGCAUAACCCAAUGAAUGGUAUAAUUGUAUGCCAAAAUUAUAUAUAUGAAAUGUGCAUAUCAAGUUCCCCCAAACAUAGAUCUUUACUUGUCUUCAAGUAAAGGCAAAUGACAAGAGCUAGAUGGUGAACAGUGAGCUGACUAGAGAAUGUCCCAGUAAAGUAGAUCUCCAAACAUCGCAUGCUUUGGACUUAGCUAGUGAAAAUCAAUGGUUAAGAGUGCUACAAAGCAAUAGGAUACUAGUAGACUCGAUCAUUUUCAACUUUUACAAUGAUGCAAGAAGAUUAGCAAGUUCAAAUGCUGAUUAUGCCAAAGGUUCCUAAAGAGAGCAUGAUCUUGAGAACAAAAGGAACUUGAAUUAAAUCUUGUGAUCAAAUCACUUAUUUACUGAAAUAAAGCAAUGAUUAUUAUUAUUAGUCUCACCAUAGGAACAUACCACCGAUCCCGAGAACAUGGUAUACACCUGGCUCGAUCAAUUAUUGGUAUUUUUUAGUUUGUCUCCCCAAAGGAACAUACCACCGAUCCCGAGAACAUGGUAUACACCUGGUUCGACAAUUACAUUUUUUAAUAUAAUUAACUCCUAUCCGAUCCAACCAGAUUUCACAAGCCACCGAUCCAGGGAACAUGUCAUGCUACUGUUAGGUAGAUCAGAUAAUUAUACACUAUAAGAUAUUCCUAUUUUAAUGAACAAACACAAGAAUCAUCACUCAACCAGGUCUGGUUCACAUGCUACCAAUCCAAAGAACAUAGCAUGCUAAUCCAUAGUGGUAAGUGAUUGCUCUGAAUGGGAACACAUUAGGCACAAACUCAGCAUCUGACACUUAAUGAUCUAGGUGUAUCGAGGUAAAAGCAGAAAAUGAUUAAGUUUUCUAGUGUACUAGGGAUUUGAGCACUCAAAACUAAUAGUUCUCACUAAUUUCAGCAAAGCACGCAAUAUGUAGAUCACUAGUUUACAUGGCAUUCAACAAUCGGUUCGCAUAUUCUCAUCAAGCACCAUAUGUCAAAUAAAAUUCAGUGGGGCAACAUUUAAGAAAUGGCUUAAUAAGCAACCCAAAUAACAUUUGAUUUCAGCAUGUAUCAAUGGAUGAUAUACUCAGAAUGGGUCAUGAAACAACUCACCGGGCUUUGAUGAUGUAGCACUCGGUUGAUCACUCUCUAAGCUGCAGCUCUUCUCCUUUUGCUUCCUCAUGGAUGCUCCAGCUUCACUCUUCUUCGUGUGUGCCCCCUUGCUUCUCCUCAUCCCCAUGCUCUGAGUCCACCAGGGUCCCAAGGAAUGUCACCUCGAACCUGGUCAACAUGUAUUGAUUCGUGCACAAGCAAAAACCUGAAAAGGCACUCAACCAAAGAGACAAUGCAAGUGGUAGGGAUAAUACCCUCCAAGUCAUCAAUCGAAUAUCCAAUUACAUAAGCAUAGCUAUAAAGCACAUGUUUAGGAUGGUAGAAAUCAGCAAGGUAGACACUAACAUGAGGAUGAAAUUUAUCAUUAAGCUCAAGACUAGUAUGGGAAUAAUAUGUUUCAUUAAGCAUAGGACUAGCAUAAGGAAAAUAAGUGUCAUCAUCGGGAAUGAGAGCAAUGCCACCAAAAGUGUAUGUAUGAUCAUGUCCAAGCAAAUAAUUUUUCAAAUCUAGCUUAAUUGAUGGUAUAACGCAAUGCAAAGUAACAACAAAGAUCUCAUAAGGAAGCAUGUCAUCAAGAGGAUUGGAUAAACCUGCUAAAUCACGCUCCUGUAUGAUGAUGGGCAAAUGCAUUUCCGGUUCUUCAUCUUCAAUCACAUCAACUUCUUUUGCUUCUUCAAGAGUAAUAGAUGAUGAGUCUUCAACUUGAUCACUUUGUUGUUCGAGCUCUGGAUCAUCUUGUUCCUUGUCUUCAAGUAUUUCUUCUUCAAUCUGAGGUCUUUCUUCCUCUGGACUCUUACUAUCUUGCUCAGCUGGAUGUGACGGUAUUGGAACCUCACAUGUAUCAAGGGGAAUCUCGGCAACACUCGGCUCAAGGAGGGAGGAGAUAGUACUGCCAGCGUUGAUGUUCUUCUCAAUCUUCCUUACUUCUUCCACUGGCUCUUUUCCACUCUUGAUCUUCUUCAUUUCCUCUAGUAUCACCGGCCUCAUUGGAUCAUCUUCAGCACUCCAAGUGAACUCAAGACUAAGCAAUGUGAGCUUGUCUAUAUCAUCAAAAUCAUCUUGUGUGGGCACUUGUGUUGAAGGUGUUGGUUGACCAAAUGGAGGACCAUUUAACUCCAUUGGCUAUAUCUCCUGGUGUUGAGGUAUAUGAGUAGGAGGUGAAUAGCAUUGUUGUGGUGCAUAGUUGUUGCUCUCGUCAUUGUACCUAAAUCCCUGCAUUGGAUAACUAGAGGCAAACGAUGAGAUCUCAGGGUUGUUGCUCCUAUAUGACAUAUUCGGGUUUUUAGGCCACCCAUGUGACUAAUUGCUUGCUUUGGUAUGAGCUAUGCUCUUGAGUGAAGCUCAUGCCAAAACAAUCUGGAGGGUGAGAGUAACCAUGCUGACAUUCAGCGGGCGAAUGGCCCUGAAAUCCACAAAUAUGGCAGGUAGGAGCAACAUAAGGAUAGCCUCUAGAAUAAGGAUCAUAAGAGCUAGGCCUAUCCUCAAAAACUAUUUCUCGCUGCUGAGCUAAAUCAUCUAAUCGAUGGGAAAUCUUACUUAUCAAGUCUUGAAUACUUUCCGUGCUGUUUGUAGUGUUGCUCGCAAAAGCAUGAUGAUCUGAAUAGUAAGCCAUAUCUGAGAAGAUGCAAUAACCUGCAGAAUGACCAAGCAAAGAAAGAGAAAAUAACUUGAACAAGGGUUAGGGGUUAGAGAUAUAUCACAUAUAUAUAGCACAAAGGGAAAAACAAGAAAAACCUAGUCUAUAGCCUAACACGGUCGCACGACUCUAGUCCCCGGCAAAGGCACCAAAAUGAUCAGGUGUAAUAUAGCAGGGUUUUUGCGCCCAAACUACGGAUGUGUCGUGUUCUCCACAGGGACUAGGCGACAGUGACUAUGCUCGGCUAAAGCUAGGCUAGACAAUUUAAGUGACGAAUACAGGGAAAAUAAACCUAAAGUAUCUAAGAUCGUCGGAAAAUCGACGACAAAGUAAAUGAAAAUAAGCAAAGGGAGAUUUAGAUUAUAUUCUCUGUCUUUUUGGUAUAUUCAUAAAACUUGAGAAACUAAAAUACUAACACAAGCUGACAUCAAUGACAACAGAAGUAAAAGGACAUGAAUGUAACAUGACAAGGACACAUAUAUAACUAUCAAACAUGAACAGAGGGAAGAAACAAGGUUGUAGGACAGAAUAUAUGUAUCAUAUCAAAGACACACACAUAUGUAUAUAAAUCACACACAUUUAUCUCACAAGAACUUGAACUAAUACGUGGACUACAAAACUGAAUAUAUUUCUACAGAAAAGGGAACGCACUGUGACAACACAUACAUGAACUGGAAUUAAAAUACAAAGGGUGAACACGCAUAAGUUCUAACAGAACACUAAUUACCAAGACAAAAUGUUAGACAUCACUUUGUUUCGAAAGAAAAGAAAUCCACUAUUCAGAACAUAGAAUUCAUGACAUGAUAUUUAACAAGUACGAACUGAACAAAAUAAUUGGUUGCAAACACUUAUCAAAAUCUGAACCUUACAAGUCCUACACCACUCCUAUUACAGAAAAUUCAGAGUACAGUAGCAAGAGAAGGGAGAGAUUCAAAGAUUAAUUCCUAGUAAAUCUUCAGGCUUGCAGCUGUAGAUGGUGUAGGUGAUGGAGAAGAUCAGCAGGGGGCGAGUUGGAGAAGGAGAGGUACAGCAGCAGAGGGCAGAGCAGCAGUGAGGUAGGGAGAAGAAAGAGCAGCAGGCUGGGGUUCAGAGAAUAUUAGGAGCAUCAACUAGAGGCAAAGGAAGAAGAGAGCAGCGACAGGAGAAGAAGGAAACAACAACAUGAUGAGGGGAGGAGUAGCAGCGUGAGAGAUCAGCAAGGGGCGCGGUAGAAGAAGAGCAGCAACAAAGGGAUUGAAGGAGGAGGAGAGAGGUGGAGGAGCAGCGAGGGGAAGAAGAAGGGCAGCAGCGAGGCAGGGGAGGAAGAAGGCAGCGGCAGAAGGCAAGGUCGCGCGGGGCACCAGACCCCUGGUCUGGUAGGGCGCGCGAGCGAUGGUGGUGAAGGGGUGGCGCUGAUGGAUGGUGCAGCGGCGCGAGGUGGUGAUGGAUUGGAUGGAUGGUGGUAUAUGGAGGUGCUGGUGGACGGAGGGCGCGGUGGAGUGGUGGCGCGCCCCACACCGGCCUGGCUAUGGCGGCGGCCGAAGGUGGAGAAGGAGACAAGAGGGGAGAUGUG